CAGCAGUUUAGCUCAAAUAAAUGGCUUAUAUUUAAUAGGUGGAUCCGAUCGAGACCGGAUCACGUUCUCACCACAAGCGAACCGCUCCAGAGUUCGUUUGGUACCUAGAGGAGGUGGUCUCGGUCCGGUUCUUUUGAUCCGCACCCGAGUGCGAUUACUGUUUUUACACCUGCUCAAUCGAACCGCACUGCUCAGGUAUGCUCCGCUCGUCCUCGGCUUUGCUCGCUCCCAAGUCACGUGACCAGUCAAAUCGCAGCCAGUGCGGUUAGAGAAUCGCGUUUUAAAAUAUCGCGAGAUUAUCGCAAAUGCAAUUAAUUGUUCAGCCCUACUUACCAUAUAAAUAAAAUGACAAGAGCAAGGACCAACCCUACACACCCAAUCACAACUCCAACAAUCACGUAAAGAGUGAAACUUGGAUUCCCUGUGAAAAAAAAAACAAAUAUAUCUGUAAUACAUUUGCUACCGAUGAUCAUGAAAUUGUAUGUUAUAGUAGUUUUCUGUCAAUCAUACCUUUGAAACUAAGCAGCACUGCUUCUGAUAUUUUAGAUCCGUGUUCAUCCUGAACCUCACAGUAGUACUGACCACUGCUUUCAGAGUCCAAGGUAAAGCUGUAACUGUGUCCAGAUCCUAUAGGUGAGCUUCCACCAUCUUUAAACCAGGUGUAUUUCUGUACAGGUGGGUUUCCAUCACUGCUGCAGGUCAGAGUCACUGAACUGCCCUCCACUAUUUCACCAGAGGGACUGAUGGACACUGAGACGCUCUUUGGAGGAUCUAGAAACCAGAGAACAACACCAGUGAGAGUAUAAUCACUGACUGUUAGACACUUGAAGUAAAGUUGGUAUAGAAAACAGAAUCAAUAACUGAAACAAGUAAAGAAGCACUCACACAGAACAUUCAGAGUUACAGUAUCAGAGUAUUUCUCUCCAUGUUUAUUACUGGAUCUACACUUGUAUUCUCCACUGUUCACAGAGCUGAUCUUGUUCAGUUUGAAGGUCUUUCCUGUUGCUACUGAUGAUGAUCCUUUAUACCAGGUAUAUUCCACAGGUGGGUUUCCAUCACUGCUGCAGGUCAGAGUCACUGAACUGCCCUCCACUAUUUCACCAGAGGGACUGAUGGACACUGAGACGCUCUUUGGAGGAUCUACAGGCAGAUUGACACAUUACAAUAAAUCUGAUGUUUGUGAUGCUGUAGAUCUGACCGGUCCAUUUCUGCUGAACGUCUUUAUUCACCUUCUUAAACCAGGUGUAUUUCUGUACAGGUGGGUUUCCAUCACUGCUGCAGGUCAGAGUCACUGAACUGCCCUCCACUAUUUCACCAGAGGGACUGAUGGACACUGAGACGAUCUUUGGAGGAUCUAGAAAAAUGUCAUUAAUAUGGAACAUCUUAAAAGUUUUGCCAUCACUGAUUUAAAUGGUAUAAUUUACACAUUAGAAUCAAAGAAAAAUAACUUACAUAUAACAGUUAAUGACUUGUACUCUGAGUACUGAGACCCUUGUGUGUUGGUUGCCAUGCACUGAUAUUCUCCACUGUCUGCAGAUCUGAUGUUUGUGAUGCUGUAGAUCUGACCGGUCCAUUUCUGCUGAACGUCUUUAUCUACCUUCUUAAACCAGGUGUAUUUCUGUACAGGUGGGUUUCCAUCACUGCUGCAGGUCAGAGUCACUGAACUGCCCUCCACUAUUUCACCAGAGGGACUGAUGGACACUGAGACGCUCUUUGGAGGAUCUUAAGGAACCUCCACCUGGAGACCUGCCAACAAGAGAUAACACACUUCUACUGUAUCAUCCUCACAUUAGCUGAAUAAAGUGAAUUUAUAGAAGGGGAUCUUUGGGUAGAGUCAGAAUCAUGUUUGUAAAAGAUGUAAAAGCGUUAAAAACUUUUAAAUUGGUUUAAAAACAAAAUGGUAAAAUAAGAAAAUGGAUUUUGAUUUAGGGGUAUCAAACACAAUCUAUUGUAUCAUACACAAUAAUAAUAAUAUUAUUAUUCCAGUCAUUUGCCAGAACACAUCACUUCAUUGAUGAAUGUAAAGAACAGUGAUUAUCUGACUCGCUCUAGUAAUUGGAUCAGCUGCCAGGUUCCAAAUGUUUUUAGUGAACUGGGAAAAUCAGCUUUUAGCUACAGAGCACCAGUGAGCUGGAAUUCACUACAGGAAACUCUAAAACUCACUAAAGCUCACUGGUGUCACUAAAUCAUUUAAACUUUUAAUAUCUAACCACCUUCAGAC